GCUACACCUUCUUCUCCAUCUCCGGCGAGUACCCGUUGAUUGGCUGGCAGCUGCUGGUGGUGGUCGCGGCCAUAUACAUAUAGCUAAAGCUGCUAGCUACCAUGUGGAGGCUGAAGGUGGCCGAGGGCGGCGGCGCGUUGCUGCGGUCGACGAAUGGCUUCCUCGGGCGGGCGGUGUGGGAGCUCGACCCCGACCACGGCACGCCGGAGGACCGCGCCGACGUCGAGAGGGUGCGCCGUGAGUUCACCGAUGACCGCCUCCGCCGCCGCGAGUCGGCGGAUCUCCUCAUGCGCAUGCAGUUUGCAAAACAGAAAAAGCUUCAACGUCGUCGUGAUAGUAUUCCACCGGCCGUCAAGCUUGGAGAGAAGGAACAGGUGACUGAAGAAAUCGCCAUGGCUUCGUUGAGGCGAGCUCUCGACGAGUUCUCCUCUUUGCAAGCAGACGAUGGACACUGGCCUGGCGACUUCAGUGGUGUUAUGUUCAUCAUGCCUGGCUUGAUAUUUGCUUUAUAUGUCACUGGAUCACUGGACACUACGAUAUCACCAGAGCAUCGGCAGGAGAUAUGUCGAUAUAUCUACAACCAUCAGAACGAGGAUGGUGGAUAGGGCACGUUCUUGAGCUCGAGCACCAUGUUUGGCACAUGUUCAAACUAUAUCACCCUAAGGCUUCUCGGCGAAGUUCUAACCAAUGAGCAAUUGGCUAGAGGACGUAUCUGGAUCAUAUCGCAUGGUGGCGCUACCCUUGUUCCACAGUGGGGAAAGAUAUGGCUCUCGAUGCUUGGAGUGUACGAGUGGGCAGGAAACAACCCCAUCUUCCCUGAGCUAUGGCUAGCCCCACAGUUCCUUCCCUUUCAUCCAGGCAAAUUUUGGUGCCUGACCCGCAUGGUAUACCUGCCCAUGGCCUACCUGUACGGCAAGAAGUUCGUGGGCCCCACCACACCGACCAUCCUGGCACUGCGAGAGGAGAUAUACCCGGUCCACUACCUCACCAUCGAUUGGGCCCAGGCCCGCAGCGCCUGCGCCAAGGAGGAUCUGGUCUGCCCGAGGACGCGGCUGCAGAACGCGGUGUGGAGUUGGCUGUACAAGUGGGUGGAGCCGGUGAUGAGCAGCUGGGCGAUGAACAAGCUGAGGGGGAGAGCUUUGGAUGCACUCAUGGAGCACAUCCAUUACGAGGACGAGAACACGCAGUACCUCUGCAUUUGCUCUGUCAACAAGGCUCUAAACAUGGUCUGCUGCUGGGCGGAAGAUCCAAAUUCAGACGCAUUCAAGAGGCAUCUUGCGAGGGUACCUGAUUUCUUGUGGCUUUCAGAAGAUGGCAUGAAGGCGCAGGUAUAUGAUGGUUGCCAAAGCUGGGAAACAGCAUUAAUAAUUCAAGCGUUUUGUGCCACUGAUCUUGUAAAUGAGUAUGCUUCAACUGUUCAGAGAGCCCACGAAUUCAUGAAAAAUUCCCAGGUUGUAAGGAAUCAUCCUGGUGACCAAAGUUACUGGCAUCGCCAUAGAUCAAAGGGUUCUUGGACUCUUUCCUCUGCAGACAAUGGGUGGGCUGUGUCUGACACUACAGCAGAAGCACUGAAGGCUGUAUUGUUGCUGACAAAGAUAUCUAGUAGCAUGGUUGGGGAUCCCAUUGAAAGAGAAAGGCUGUAUGAUGCUGUUGAUUGCCUCCUAUCUUUUGUGAACAAAGAUGGUACCAUUUCUACAUAUGAAUGUAAAAGAACUUCUACUUGGAUAGAGAUUCUCAAGCCUUGCGAGAGUUUUCCAAAUAUGGUGGUUGAUUAUCCAUAUCCAGAAUGUACCUCCUCAGUGCUUCAAGCUUUGGUGCUGUUCAAAGAACUAUGCCCUGGUUACCGUACUGAAGAGAUAGAAGAAUGUGUUAGAAACGCAUCAAUGUUUAUUGAGAACACGCAACGCAAAGAUGGCUCAUGGCUAGGCACUUGGGGUGUAUGCUUCACCUAUGGGGCCUUCUUUUCAGUACAAGGAUUAAUUGCUGCUGGAAGAACAUAUGAGAAUAGUUCUUCCAUCAGGAAAGCAUGCGACUUUAUAUUGUCAAAACAGCUCAAUACUGGCGGAUGGGGAGAAAGCCACGUUUCUAAUGAAACUAAGGUCUAUGUAAACAUCAAAGGUGAUCGUGCUCAUGUAGUGAAUACUGCUUGGGCAAUGCUGACUUUAAUUUAUGCUGGACAGAUGGAGCGAGAUCCAACCCCACUGCAUUGUGCUGCAAAAGAAUUAAUCAAUAUGCAGUUAGAAACAGGGGAGUUUCCCCAACAAGAACACGUUGGAUGCUUCAAUUGCUCCCUCUUCUUCAAUUACCCCAACUACCGCAACAUAUUCCCCAUCUGGGCUCUUGGAGAGUACUGCUGGCAUCUCCGCUAAAAGAGGCAUGCAUGAGCAUGGCAUUGUGAUAAAGGAAGGGGUCGAUGGCAUGCCAUGAAUCUCUUAUAUAUGCUACAGAUGUUACUGAGCACCUCAUCACCCUAUACAAAUAUGUACUUACUUAUAUACUACCUGAUGUUGUAUAUAUUGUCAAGACCUGGUAAACAUAAUUCGCUGGGAAACAGUAUAGGAAGAGAGUGAAACUUAAACAUGAUUUGUUGUUGUUGUAUUUGUAUCCAUGAAGAUAAACUGUCUUAAUAAAUUUCUCUGGGAAAGAAAAAAAAAAGAGAUCUUCCUUAAGAA